GACGAACGCUGGCGGCGUGCUUAACACAUGCAAGUCGAACGGAAAGGCCCUGCUUGCAGUGUUCUCGCGUUGCGAACGGGUGAGUAACACUCGGGUGCUCUGCCCCUUUCUUUGGGAUAGGCCUGUUCAACUGGCUCUAAUACUUUCUAGGACCAUGCUGUAGGUGGUUUGUUGGAAAGUUUAGUUCCGUUAGGGGAUGAUCUCUCGGCAUAUCAGCUUGUUGGUGGGUUAUUGUCCUCCCAAGGCGUGGCCGGGUAGCCGGCCUGAGAGGGUGGACGGCAAGAUUGGGACUGAGAUGCGGCGCAGAAGUCUACGGGAGGCAGCAAUGGGGAAUAGUGCAAAAGAGGAGCAAGCCUGAUGCAGCGAAGGCGCGUGGAGGAUGACGGCCUGCGAGUUGUAAACUCCAUUCAGCCAUGACGAAGCGCUUGUGGUGACGGUAGUGGUAGAAGAAGCACCGGCUAACUACGUG
rnacentral:rRNA from 1 species